rnacentral:rRNA from 1 species
GACAGAGGGUGCAGACGUUGUUCGGAAUUACUGGGCGUGAAGCGAGUGUAGGCGGUGUGGUAAGUCGGAUGUGAAAGCCCCGGGCUCAACCCGGGAAGUGCACUCGAUACUGCCACGCUAGAGUAUCGGAGAGGUUGGUGGAAUUCUCGGUGUAGAGGUGAAAUUCGUAGAUAUCGAGAGGAACACCGGUGGCGAAGGCGGCCAACUGGACGAAUACUGACGCUGAGGUGCGAAAGCGUGGGGAGCAAACAGG